GGGUUGUGAGGUUAAGCGACUAAGCGUACACGGUGGAUGCCCUGGCAGUCAGAGGCGAUGAAGGACGUGCUAAUCUGCGAUAAGCGUCGGUAAGGUGAUAUGAACCGUUAUAACCGGCGAUUUCCGAAUGGGGAAACCCAGUGUGAUUCGUCACACUAUCAUUAACUGAAUCCAUAGGUUAAUGAGGCGAACCGGGGGAACUGAAACAUCUAAGUACCCCGAGGAAAAGAAAUCAACCGAGAUUCCCCCAGUAGCGGCGAGCGAACGGGGAGGAGCCCAGAGCCUGAAUCAGUGUGUGUGUUAGUGGAAGCGUCUGGAAAGGCGCGCGAUACAGGGUGACAGCCCCGUACACAAAAAUGCACAUACUGUGAGCUCGAUGAGUAGGGCGGGACACGUGGUAUCCUGUCUGAAUAUGGGGGGACCAUCCUCCAAGGCUAAAUACUCCUGACUGACCGAUAGUGAACCAGUACCGUGAGGGAAAGGCGAAAAGAACCCCGGCGAGGGGAGUGAAAAAGAACCUGAAACCGUGUACGUACAAGCAGUGGGAGCCUCUUUAUGGGGUGACUGCGUACCUUUUGUAUAAUGGGUCAGCGACUUAUAUUCUGUAGCAAGGUUAACCGAAUAGGGGAGCCGAAGGGAAACCGAGUCUUAACUGGGCGUUAAGUUGCAGGGUAUAGACCCGAAACCCGGUGAUCUAGCCAUGGGCAGGUUGAAGGUUGGGUAACACUAACUGGAGGACCGAACCGACUAAUGUUGAAAAAUUAGCGGAUGACUUGUGGCUGGGGGUGAAAGGCCAAUCAAACCGGGAGAUAGCUGGUUCUCCCCGAAAGCUAUUUAGGUAGCGCCUCGUGAAUUCAUCUCCGGGGGUAGAGCACUGUUUCGGCAAGGGGGUCAUCCCGACUUACCAACCCGAUGCAAACUGCGAAUACCGGAGAAUGUUAUCACGGGAGACACACGGCGGGUGCUAACGUCCGUCGUGAAGAGGGAAACAACCCAGACCGCCAGCUAAGGUCCCAAAGUCAUGGUUAAGUGGGAAACGAUGUGGGAAGGCCCAGACAGCCAGGAUGUUGGCUUAGAAGCAGCCAUCAUUUAAAGAAAGCGUAAUAGCUCACUGGUCGAGUCGGCCUGCGCGGAAGAUGUAACGGGGCUAAACCAUGCACCGAAGCUGCGGCAGCGACACUAUGUGUUGUUGGGUAGGGGAGCGUUCUGUAAGCCUGUGAAGGUGUACUGUGAGGUAUGCUGGAGGUAUCAGAAGUGCGAAUGCUGACAUAAGUAACGAUAAAGCGGGUGAAAAGCCCGCUCGCCGGAAGACCAAGGGUUCCUGUCCAACGUUAAUCGGGGCAGGGUGAGUCGACCCCUAAGGCGAGGCCGAAAGGCGUAGUCGAUGGGAAACAGGUUAAUAUUCCUGUACUUGGUGUUACUGCGAAGGGGGGACGGAGAAGGCUAUGUUGGCCGGGCGACGGUUGUCCCGGUUUAAGCGUGUAGGCUGAUUUUCCAGGCAAAUCCGGAAAAUCAAGGCUGAGGCGUGAUGACGAGGCACUACGGUGCUGAAGCAACAAAUGCCCUGCUUCCAGGAAAAGCCUCUAAGCAUCAGGUAACAUCAAAUCGUACCCCAAACCGACACAGGUGGUCAGGUAGAGAAUACCAAGGCGCUUGAGAGAACUCGGGUGAAGGAACUAGGCAAAAUGGUGCCGUAACUUCGGGAGAAGGCACGCUGAUAUGUAGGUGAAGCGACUUGCUCGUGGAGCUGAAAUCAGUCGAAGAUACCAGCUGGCUGCAACUGUUUAUUAAAAACACAGCACUGUGCAAACACGAAAGUGGACGUAUACGGUGUGACGCCUGCCCGGUGCCGGAAGGUUAAUUGAUGGGGUUAGCGGUAACGCGAAGCUCUUGAUCGAAGCCCCGGUAAACGGCGGCCGUAACUAUAACGGUCCUAAGGUAGCGAAAUUCCUUGUCGGGUAAGUUCCGACCUGCACGAAUGGCGUAAUGAUGGCCAGGCUGUCUCCACCCGAGACUCAGUGAAAUUGAACUCGCUGUGAAGAUGCAGUGUACCCGCGGCAAGACGGAAAGACCCCGUGAACCUUUACUAUAGCUUGACACUGAACAUUGAGCCUUGAUGUGUAGGAUAGGUGGGAGGCUUUGAAGUGUGGACGCCAGUCUGCAUGGAGCCGACCUUGAAAUACCACCCUUUAAUGUUUGAUGUUCUAACGUUGACCCGUGAUCCGGGUUGCGGACAGUGUCUGGUGGGUAGUUUGACUGGGGCGGUCUCCUCCUAAAGAGUAACGGAGGAGCACGAAGGUUGGCUAAUCCUGGUCGGACAUCAGGAGGUUAGUGCAAUGGCAUAAGCCAGCUUGACUGCGAGCGUGACGGCGCGAGCAGGUGCGAAAGCAGGUCAUAGUGAUCCGGUGGUUCUGAAUGGAAGGGCCAUCGCUCAACGGAUAAAAGGUACUCCGGGGAUAACAGGCUGAUACCGCCCAAGAGUUCAUAUCGACGGCGGUGUUUGGCACCUCGAUGUCGGCUCAUCACAUCCUGGGGCUGAAGUAGGUCCCAAGGGUAUGGCUGUUCGCCAUUUAAAGUGGUACGCGAGCUGGGUUUAGAACGUCGUGAGACAGUUCGGUCCCUAUCUGCCGUGGGCGCUGGAGAACUGAGGGGGGCUGCUCCUAGUACGAGAGGACCGGAGUGGACGCAUCACUGGUGUUCGGGUUGUCAUGCCAAUGGCACUGCCCGGUAGCUAAAUGCGGAAGAGAUAAGUGCUGAAAGCAUCUAAGCACGAAACUUGCCCCGAGAUGAGUUCUCCCUGACUCCCUGAGAGUCCUGAAGGAACGUUGAAGACGACGACGUUGAUAGGCCGGGUGUGUAAGCGCAGCGAUGCGUUGAGCUAACCGGUACUAAUGAACCGUGAGGCUUAACCUUACAACGCCGAAG
rnacentral:rRNA from 1 species